UACGUAGGUGGCAAGCGUUGUCCGGAAUUAUUGGGCGUAAAGCGCGCGCAGGCGGCCUCUUAAGUCUGAUGUGAAAGCCCCCGGCUCAACCGGGGAGGGCCAUUGGAAACUGGGAGGCUUGAGUAUAGGAGAGAAGAGUGGAAUUCCACGUGUAGCGGUGAAAUGCGUAGAGAUGUGGAGGAACACCAGUGGCGAAGGCGACUCUUUGGCCUAAUAACUGACGCUGGAGGCGCGAAAAGCGCGGGGAGCAAACAGGAUUGAGAA
rnacentral:rRNA from 1 species